UGCAGACCAAUUUGGUAAUAAUUUAAAGCAGUUUAGAAAUCCGAAAAAAAAUCGAGCGUUUCCUUUGAAGACAGAUUAUAAACAAAAUAUAUAUAUAUCCUUUUUUAAUAAGUCCUCAGCGCAUAUUUAAAAAUUACCUGUGCAAUCAUCGGGAGAGUAGUUUCUUGAUUCGCACAGCUCCUCCUCGUCGUAAUUUUUUUCCUAUCGUUGUACCUCGAGGGCUCCUCAUGUACUCCACUGUCACAUGAUCUCAUGUCAAAUCUACACUUGUCACUGAUCCACGUGCCACCAAAGUUGAACGCUCCCUAACCUGUUUGCCAAGUAUUCUAUUGUAUUAACUCCUGACGUCACAUCAUUUCUCUCUCACCACCACGUGUUCCCUACAACCCCACACCUCAACCGGUUCUCUCUUCUAUCCGUAAAACGUAUCGUGAAAAAAAAAACCGAUUGAUCGGCAAUUGCUCGACGGUUAAGUUUGGUAUCGGUAAACGGUGAAAAAAAAACUUGGAGAAAAAUUACCAAACAAGUCUAGUAAUCGUCCAGCGGAAUCCAUUCUACAUUUUUUUUCACGCUAUAUCGGGGCAAAUAAUGCGAAACUGGGAAUUUUUAUUCGCUCAUUCGAGAAAAUUGACUGAACCCACUGUUCAUUACAUCAAAAAUUACCGAAUAAAUUAUUAUUGGGUAAUCAGUCCCUGGUCUAGGACUUUUAUUACCCAGAAUGACUUACCAUUCUUUAUUUUUAUUCGAAUAUUCACGCAAAAUUGAUAAGACAUAAACAAUAAUGUCGCAACCAUUUUUCAUAAAAUAAAAAUUUGGUAAAUUGCUCUCCAACUGUUCUCUGCGUGAAAUUAAUUCUCGCAAUAAACCAAAACAGUAAUAUUUCAAGGGGAAUAUGCGUCAUUGGAUGUUUGCACUGGACCCGCGAGUCGGCGUCCUUUGUGAGGCCUUUUCGUGCGCGGCCAUCGCGCCCAAUACUUUUUACCCCCUCGGAAUCCACGAAACACUUUUAUACGUACGCCCCAACAACCCAGCCAAUUUCAAAUGCAACUCGCGUCCCUCAUACUGGAUCCAUCACCCUCACCCCUCCCUCCCUCUCACUCUUCUCACCCUGCAGGAUGCACUCCGACGAACGUUAAAACAACACUCGUCGAUAUGAGAACAGCCAUCAUCGAGGGGGGAACUCGUGUACGAGAUGACGAGAUAAACCACUAAUCCAACCUUUCGUUCGGCUUGUGGACUCCUGGACUCUGUGCGAUCAAUCUCGUACUUUUUCCUUUGUCGAUCGUGGUAUACAUCAUUUUCGUUGACCGUGAAGGGGACUCGGGGAAGGAAUGACGCGAAGAAAAAUGGUAAACUCGCGCGGUGAAGCUGGGGAAUGCUGGGGAUGGUAUUAAUUGGGGAUAUCAUUGUCUGCUUGAGUACUCUCGAGUACAGAUUUUUUUUUUUUGCUAUUUUGUGUGCCCUAGCAAUUGAAUUUUUACCCUAAAACGAGUCUAACCUCCCUCUCGUGAAAUUGGUGGAUAAAAAAAUGAUCAAUAAAGUUGUUUCCCGGGGUUGAGAAUUUUUUUAUUCCGCACAUCCCCAUAACCCACUAGAAUGUAGCAUUUUCGUGUCAUCCGAUGCGUGACCCACUUGUUGUUCCUCCGGCACUCGUCGGCCCGCAACAUUAUUGGUUCGGUUACAACCAAAAGGAUGCAUUUAAAAGAAGAGUACCUGGAAUUUUUAUUAUCCCAUUAAUCAAGCCACAAGUGACAUACCAAUGCGGUAUAAUGCUGCAUUAUUUAACGCACAUAAUUCGCGCUUUCUAACUGUCUGGAACGGUCGGGUUUUAUUCAAAGAGCGGAAGAUGGUGUACCCCACGGCUUGAGUUAUCCCCGGGAGAGGUUCAUUACCGUGGAAAAUCGAAUGUUUUAUUUUCAUUCAUUUCUACCGAUCGCCGACAACUGGAAAUCUGCUACCGUGGAAAUCAAACGGUACGAUUAUCCCGCCAAUGAAAAAUUCUCCGGAAAUAUUUUUGCGUUAAUUAUUGGUCAUGUUAAUCCCGUCAUUAGUCAUAUGUCUACAAUUUCAAUUUGAAUGCACCGGCCUCUGGGCACCUGAUAGCUCAACAAUGAGGCAAUAAAAAACGCAGUACAUGCAUUCUUAUGAAACAUCGCUGACCAGAUGGUUUGCGUCGCCCAGUGUAGUGCCGGCUGUCGUGAAAACUCGCGCCGACAGUGGCUGAUACACUUCGCGCGAUAGAGUCGUCGUAGCACAGCAUCAGCAGAAAAUUACGAGCCCCGAUAUUUUUUUUUAUUGCUGAGGGGGCUGAUUGAGUCGGGAAAAUAUCCUGUGCAUUGAAUUGAUAAAAUCCCAGUUUUUCUCCCACACGGGGGAAAAUGGUGGCGACCGUUGGGCGUCCCUCGGCAUCGCUAAUGGCGACGCUAAUUACACUGGGGCACGCGAUCGCGUCUAGGAUGGUUGGGUGGAACCGAUCUGGCCAGGAGAAUACCCGAGAUGUCUGAGGAUCGAGGUCGGUAUUAACCUUCCAGUCGAUCCAUCGUUGUAAACAACCGACUGAUCACGUUUCAUAAAUCGUGGAAGUGCUCCAGACGAUGAUGACCAUCUCGGGGAUGAUUAACUUCCAAUAGCGAUUCGGGCAGAAUUCUUUUCAAAUAAAUAAAUAAUCCCUCACGAAUUCUAAUUUACCCCGUUUAUUCACCUCAUAAAAUAUCAAUUAAAUACCACUAAUUCUCCGCGGGAAUGUUAAUCGAAUGAAGUCCUCGCGACGGAGGACAUCCCGUCUCCCAUAAAUAAUCUUUUCUUCAGCAAUUUUCUUAUCCCCCAGUGCGAAUCAUAGAAUUCCAUAAAAUACUUCCAGAAGGAGUCAAACGACUCCAACUUUCCCUACAUGCGUUUAUUUCGUGGGUUGACUGCUUUUUCCCCUCACCCCCUGGCAUUUCGAAACCCCCUCGGUCGUUGUGGAUGCGCGUCGUGCACUUCACUCGGCUCGGGUGUAUAUGAAAGCGCGCCAAUUACCUUGUCAAUUAUAUCCUCGAUUGAUGCACGCCGGCCAUAUUGAUUCAGCAACCAAUCCAGGUACUUCUGGUGUAUGUACCCCCUGCACGUAUCACCAGCGUUCAUCGUUUCUCAGGGGAGUCCAUGUAGCCGCCCCUCCUGCCCUCCCUCACACCCCCCAGCCCCCUCGUCCUAUCAUUUUCUCCACCGCAGAAUGCACCAGAGCAAGCUGAGAAGUGAGCGAUAAUUCUUUAUACAUCUUUUGCGAUGCCGACAAAUGCCGCGAGCGCUUUCCAUAUCUCAAACAUCGAAUGAGUUAUCCAAAGUAUUUCUCACUCCUCGGCGGUGUAUAUCUAUUUUCCCGUUUGGACAGGUGACUUAAAUAAUUAAAAUCAACAUGCUGUCAGUGGAAAAAGAAUUUUUCUCGGGGGGUAGUUUUUUUAGGGUGACAUUUUUACUGGUAUGAUGCUGUCGGUAUUGAUGGGAGGACUUUGAUUAGUUGGCAAUGGAGGGAAAAUAUUUCUCCAGGGUAAUGGAUGAAGGAGAAACCUUUCAGGGGGAGCGUGCGGUAAAUCGUUCAUUCCGUUCAUAAGUGCAGAAAUUUUUAUUCCAAUUUUUUUAUCCAGCUGUGGAUAAUUUUUCCUUCCCUUUGAUGCGACGAAGUCGUAGAAACCGAGGAGUUUAAUAUCCUCUUAUGACGGCUAUGUUUCACGAGUGAGGGUGGGUCACGGGCUCACUCGCUUCCAUUCCGCCCCAUCAACCCUCAUAGUGCGUUUAAUUUACGUGUUUUCGCGAGUUAUUUGCUUCUCACUCCCCUUAUACACAACCCCGGGUACAGUUGGUUUUCUCAUUUGUGUGUGUGUUGGGGUGUUGGACGAAUUGGGGGUGGGUUGCCAUGGUGACGAGGGCAGCGGAGUCUAACGUCCAAUGGGAUUGGCGCUGCGACGAUGUGGCCUCGUGAUACGCAUGAGAGACAGUGGAAAGUUGAUGGUGAAGAGAGAUUUUUUUUUAUUCGAUUUUUUAUGAACUAAAUAACUGAGGGUUGAACAAAAUCUAAUUCUUAAAAAUUUGAUUAAUGAAAAGAAAAGACUUCCCUCAAUUAAAUCAGGUGACAGGUCAUACACGUGUCUGCUCUAUUACUAUUAGAAAAGCCACAUAUUUGAUUAGGAAUUACGGGAUUUAGGGAUUUGUCUAGCAAAUCAUCAAUACCAACGAAAAUACUCGCGAUAUGAGAAUGUUUGCGUUUCACACGUGGUAGGGCAAACAUAAUCGCGAGCGUAACGAAGAUUCGCACAUCUAUUGCGUCAUUGAACUUUGCAUUCACGGAUUUGGCGGUGGAGUGGGAUGAUGGGUUUAAGUUACCUGCAGAACCGCCAACUGCUCAUUCAGUGAUCUCCACUUUGGACAGUCUGAUCGACAGCCUUCCCUUUCGCAAGUGGUGUCAGUUCGACGAACGUUGAAACGUGCUGGAUUUUUUGUUUCCUCGCAAACGAGAUAAUAUUAUACAUUUCAAAAUGUUCCAAGAACUCCUGAAAAUCGUCUUCAUCGCACUGAUGGCCCUCUCAAUGGUGAUGGCCUUCCCAGACAGCAUCACCCCGCGACCCUGUCCUCCGGGCUACCCGCACUGUGCGAAAUUCGACCCUGAUAACAUCUAAAAGAACCUGAAGAACUUGGGAACAUGCGGAGAGUGCGAUCGAAUUCCCAAAAAAAUAAUAAUCACUUCGUAGACCUGAGCACACGACUCGAGCAAUAGAAAUAUGAAUAGAAAAUAAGUAGAUCAGUAUACGAGGAGAAAUUCUCUUCAAAAGACCUCAAAAUGUCCGACGAAUUUUGGAACAGUCAAUUUAAAAAAUAGCAGACACUUUUUUAUUCCUUAAAAAAUUGCUCUUCACAAACUUCCAGAGUCUCUCGAUUAAAUACAGUUGUCCGCAAUUGUUUACAUAAAAUAGCAACUACUUUUGUCAAAUGUCAGUGAAUUUUAUAGUACAAUUUCCUAGUGCAAUUUUUUAUCGAUAUCUCCUCGUACGGAAGUCCGAAAAACGUUAUAAUUCAUUAUGUAAAUUCACCGUGAAAAGCCGGCGUUGGGUGUCAGUCGCAAUGGUAAAUUUAUCGCUAAACGCUUAUCAUUGCCGUCCAAUCCAUCUCAAAUAGUGUACAUAACGCGCAGGAAGCCGUCAACCGGGGUCUUCACAGUGAGACGCAAGGAAUGCCAACAAGAGGAACAGAGGGAGAAAUGGAAGGAGGAUGGAGUAGCAUAUACCGAAAAGCCCUGUCGUGGUUUUAGCGACGCGGACGGAUGGCUUGUGUCUCAUUGUAUGCAUAUUCGAACAGCUGGACGCCAGUGGCAUAUAAACACCAUGCCAUACCUGUAUGUCCUCCAUAGGACUCCACCAAGACUUUAAUCUACAGCUACCACUCACCAUCUCUCCACCAAAAUUUUCUUCAACACUUAUUUCAAUACGACGGACUCAUUGAUACAUUACACCCAUACGAUUAGUUCGCUAGAUUAUUUAUAGGAUUAGAUUAUCGAUUGUCGUUUUGUAACUGUGAAUCAAUUAAACGAAUUGUGUGAGCUUCAAAAAGUA